GACGAACGCUGGCGGCGUGCUUAACACAUGCAAGUCGAACGGAAAGGCCCUGCUUUUGUGGGGUGCUCGAGUGGCGAACGGGUGAGUAACAUGUGAGUAACCUGCCCUUGACUUUGGGAUAACUUCAGGAAACUGGGGCUAAUACCGGAUAGGAGCUCCUGCUGCAUGGUGGGGGUUGGAAGGUUUCGGCGGUUGGGGAUGGACUCGCGGCUUAUCAGCUUGUUGGUGGGGUAGUGGCUUACCAAGGCUUUGACGGGUAGCCGGCCUGAGAGGGUGACCGGCCACAUUGGGACUGAGAUACGGCCCAGACUCCUACGGGAGGCAGCAGUGGGGAAUAUUGCACAAUGGGCGGAAGCCUGAUGCAGCAACGCCGCGUGCGGGAUGACGGCCUUCGGGUUGUAAACCGCUUUCGCCUGUGACGAAGCGUGAGUGACGGUAAUGGGUAAAGAAGCACCGGCUAACUACGUG
rnacentral:rRNA from 1 species